CAAUUCUCUUCUUUUGGGGCAGGUUGAGUGCCAACUACCCCGUCAGCUCCGAUGUCCCCUGUGAGUUCCUGAGAACCACCAGGAAGGGCAAAGUGAAGCUCACGCGGUGCUACGCGGGUCUGUCCGGGGGGGCUGUGUCCUUCCUCCAGAGCACUCUGUGUGCAAACCCCUGGGGAAGGCCAUCAGCCUCCGAGUGCCUUCAGAGCCCGUGGCUCCAGGAGACAGGUUUGGACAGCAGGCAGCAAGCACUGGUUACCUUCCCCACCACCAAACUGAGGAAUUUCCUCAUGGAAAGGGAAAAGAAGAGGGGCCUGCUGUGCUCCAAGUAUGGCCUCAUGGUAGCACAGUGACAUGGAUGGGACAGGCAGGAACUGCCUCUCUGUCCCUUCUGCACUCAGUGUUUGGUAUCAAACUGUCCUGCCAAGCUGGUGUCCAUCAGCUGAGCUGGGGUCACUGGUCCCUGUGUUUGUGCUGGUGUGUCCUGCCUGCCACAGGCUGUUCCUGCGUACUCUGUGACUUGUUGGGUGACUGGGCCAGCAGACAGUGAAGGCAGCAAAUGCACCAGUGACCAUGGCCUUGUAACAUGCACGUGUUGUCCUUUGGCACUUUGAAGCCAGGCUGCUCUUCCCUGGGGAGUGCACAGGCCCUUCUACCCAGAGAUGUGCCAAAGGCUCCGUGUUUUAAUUCUUUAAAAAAAUCCUGACAUUUCACGUUGUUUCUCCUUCCAACUCUGCUUUACUCUGCAAUGGGUGGUGUUGGCUGUGUCGUGGCUUUGUACUCAUAACCUCAGUGCUCCUUCGAGUUUCUCUGCAGUGAUUGAUGUAUCUGUUGGUGCCACUGACUUCCUUUGAUUUUCCACACAAGCAGCAUUAAGUGGAGGCUUUCUCAGAGCUGUAUCUGUCUGUGUUUAGAGGAAGGAACACAGGAAACAGUUCCUGAUGCAUUGCAGUUUCAUACUGGAGUUGAGGCUGUUUAACCAGGGAUGGCCUUUCCCAACAUGUUUAACCCCUAUUGUUCCAAACCUGAAGGAUGCAGGUUGUAACUCCUUCCCUUGCUCAGUGUGCAGAGCAGGAGCUGUGACCUGGAACGUUUUCCCUGUGCUGUCGAGAGCAGGCACCGACUCAGCAGAUUGUAAAACUUUGAAUGUUGAAGGAAUAUUGUCUUCAUUAAGCUCUACAGGAGAGAAAACCAGGGGUUUAGGGACAGACUCCACACUCAGCUCUCUCAGGGGAUAGAAUAGUUACACGAGACAGACACUGCAAUGAGAGCUGCCCUCCAGUAAACUUUUCAAAUUUAUUCCUGGAUUCCUUCCAGUUUAACUUCUCUUACAAAUCCAGUCAGGUUUUUGUUGGCACAGGCUGGUUUUUUACUCUUGCUGUUGCACUUUGGGAUGGAAAGCUCAGUGCCAGGGGAGAAGCCACCCAAGCAUAAAACUCAAUUGCAGAUUAACCCAUUUGGAGCUUUCACACUCUUCCAUAUAUGACUUUUUUUUUUUUGCUUCUCACAACUGCAUGCAUUUGAGCAUGUCUGAAGUCUUUUAUAGACUCAAUACUGUUUGGUUAAAUAAACCAUUCUGACAAGCAAGUAAAGCCAGAUUUUUCUGCUGAA